UUUAAUAUUCUUACAUUGAUUUCUUAAAUAUGUAUAUGUAAAAACGGAUGUGAAUAAUUACUUUACGGUUAAAAUAAGCCAAUGUAUAAAUUCAUAUUAUUUUGCCGUUUUAGGUUUGCGAUUAUGUCACUUCCGGUUUAGUCACUUCCUGUGACGUCAUUUCCUGUUAAAAAUCUUACCUCUGUAGAAGGAAUGGCAGACAUGUGCAUCUUCUGAUUGUGAUCCGCUAGAAUCCACAUGAAAGCAUCUAAGAGGCAAUGCCUUUUCACCGUCUGUUAAUGAGGAAUUGUGACAGUAAAUGGUCAACCUUA